UGAGGAAUAUUGGUCAAUGGACGGAAGUCUGAACCAGCCAUGCCGCGUGCAGGACGAAGGCCCUACGGGUUGUAAACUGCUUUUGUAAGGGAAGAAAAUUAUCUACGUGUAGGUAUUUGCCAGUACUUUACGAAUAAGGAUCGGCUAACUCCGUGCCAGCAGCCGCGGUAAUACGGAGGAUCCGAGCGUUAUCCGGAUUUAUUAGGUUUAAAGGGUUCGUAGGCGGGAUAUUAAGUCAGUGGUGAAAUUUUGCGGCUCAACCGUAAAACAGCCAUUGAUACUGGUAUUCUUGAGUAUAGUUGAGGUAGGCGGAAUGUAACAUGUAGCGGUGAAAUGCAUAGAUAUGUUACAGAACACCGAUUGCGAAGGCAGCUUACUAAACUAUUACUGACGCUGAGGA
rnacentral:rRNA from 1 species